rnacentral:lncRNA from 1 species
UUGAUUCUAAUGUCCGAGGGAAUUUGGGUUUCUAUAUGACAUUCUUGUCUAUUGGAUUGCAGCCCAUUGGUCAAAUCUUUUCAAAUCUUAACUUUUAAAUUUAUGCUUAGGAUUAGUCUCUUCAUCUCCUCCCCAUCUCUGUAAUUUCAAAAUCUCUCUCUCCUUUUAAAAAUUUCUUUGUUUGUACUUGUUUUGUUCUAAACUUAGACCAUUUUGGAAACUAGAAACUUUGGCCUUAUGUCGUUGCAUUUUUAAAUUUCUUUUCUUAAAUAAAC